GGGACGGUAGCAAAGUGGCAAUGCGGGGCGCUGCAAACGCCCUAUACGGGGGUUCGAUUCCCUCCCGUCCCU
rnacentral:tRNA from 1 species